rnacentral:lncRNA from 1 species
CAGGGGGGCGGGGUGCCAGCUGUGUGAGUGCAUCUCGGACUCUGAUGGGGCUGGGCAUCACCGGGGCAUCUUGCUGAGGUGCGCAUUUCUCAUCCAGCAGGUCUGGAGGAGAGCCUGAGAUGCUGCGUGUGUGACACGCCCCCCGUGUGACGCUGCCCCUUGUGGCCGCAGGUCCACGCCGUGAGGGGCGGAACCCUAGGAGAGGACUCUGAAGAAGCUCGGCAGGUGCAGACGUGGGACAUGGUGUUCCUGAGAGACAGGACCUUCCAGAGGCGCUGGAGGAGCUUGCGGUCAGCUGUCCCACCGAUGAGGCUCGGCUCAGGCCUCAGCAGGACUUCUGCCUCGAGUUGCAGCAGGAGCCGAAGUAAGCUGGGCCCCUCGCCUCGCCCCUUCCCGCGGCCGGGACCCCCGGCCUCCCCGCCUCUCACACAGAACGGGCAGGGCUUGCUCCCUCUUCUGCUCUACGCUUUCUGCCUCAGCUGUGCACACCGUCUGAGGGGGCCCAGAUCCGCUUCCCUUCCAGCACGGCCAUUCUCGUGAGGAACGAUGGAGGCAACGCGUUUCCCACGUAUCCUGGGAGUCAGAACCGCCUCUGGGCAGGAUGGGGUUAAAACCCACCGGAG